rnacentral:lncRNA from 1 species
GCUGAUCAGUUCUCUUGUACAGAGAGAAAUACAAAGGUAAAAACAAAUUCAGCAAGGUAUUGACCUUAGGUAAAAUUUUUAAAAAAUAGCAUUUCAUACUUCAUUCAUAAGUAUACAUUUUGGGAGAAUUUCCCCUGAAUAUCACACAGACAGAAUACCUACUACAUUUGCUUGAAUUUCUUCAAGAGAUGAAAAAAUUCAUUUCUAUGUGGAGACAGGUUUUCUCCUAUUUACCUGGUGUUUUUGUUUUAGAUUUUAAAUUGAAAAUAUGAUUUUAUUUCUGCAUUUGGAAUGUGUUAAACAUUUCAUUGCUAAUGCUAAAGUUUCUCAAAGUUUUUAUUAACAUAUAAAAUACACAAAUUAAAUUUUACCUAUUAUAAGUGUAGAACUGGUGAAUUUUUCCAAAUUGUACACAUCCAUGUAACUGGUACCCAGAUUAAGAAACAGAAAAAUUACUCAUGUUAAGUUUUUCAAUAGUUGCAUUUUCCAAAUGCUUGUCGUUUUUGUGGCUUUUCAAAUCUUGAAAAAAAAGUCACUUCCUUAGAAUGGCAACACCUGUACUCAAACAUCUAUUUUCUCAAUAUAGUCCCUAAUAGCAUCAUCAAAUAAUUUUCAUUGAUGUUUAAUUCAUUGCACAUAGCAACCUGUAUAACUAUAGGAAAGGACAUAAAUUAGCAUUGCAGAGUAUGAACAUUUGCUACAUGGCAAAACUGUUCUUUUUGGCAACCAUUUUGCAUUUUUAAAGCCACAAGCACCCUGCUUAACAGAACUCCAAACAGAGGAGCAGCAAAAUGAGAGGAAGGUGCUGUGACUAAAAGAAGGAGGGCUGAGGGGUUAAAAUCAUUGCUGGUUGAUUUCACCACUGCUGCCCCAUAUUCUUACUCUCGGCAAAUGAAUGAGGAGAGCCCCAUGUGGGAUUACAAACUUGCUGGGAAUGGAUGAGAAACCUUCUGCUCUGCUGGAGUUUCAAAGAGGUACAUACUCUACAGCACGGGAAUUUAUAUGAGGCAAAUGAGUAACCCUGGAGCACCAGAUAAGUUCUUGCCUCCUAUGCAGCUGUGACUCUCGGGGGUGGCUGCAGACUUUUGUGGUUUCCAUCAAGAAAUGCUGCUGAGGCUCUUCAUCUGUAUGCACCACUGAAAAAUAUUUUUACCAUUGAUUUUCCUCCGGCAUUGAUCUACCACCUGACGCCAUCAAUAAUGAGGUUUGUCGGCUGAUUUCUUAGGCUGUCUGGAUUUUUUUUUUUUCUGGCAGAAGGGGAGCUGGUAGUAAGGCAGGAAGAAAGCUUCAUAACUUGAACUUGGGAAUUUAAAACUUACCCAUUGACUCCACUAAGUCAUUCCUCCCAUCCCUUCAUCCUAUCCCUCUUGCUCACCUAUCACUUUACUGCUUGAUAGGAAGUCUUCCAUCGGGUUGGCCUCCUGAGUAUUGCUAUUUUUCAGUUUUGUAUGCAUUGGAAUGCAAAUUAAAUGGGACAAUUAUCUGUGGUAAAGUGUUUUCUCGAUGCUGAAAGAAUGCUUUUCCUUUCGCUUCCCUUAAAAAUCUGAAGGCAUCUAAAAAGCUGAUUCAACUCAAGUACUUAGAG